UGAACGCUAGCGGCGCGCCUAACACAUGCAAGUCGAGUGGGUUUAGACCCACGGCAAACGGCUGCGUAACACGUUGGAACCUUCCCCGGACUCAGGGAUAACCCCGCGAAAGCGGAGCUAAUACCGGAUGGUCCCGCAAGGGUAAAGAUUUAUCGGUCCGGGAGGGGCCUGCGGCCUAUCAGCUAGUUGGUGAGGUAACGGCUCACCAAGGCAAUGACGGGUAGCUGGUCUGAGAGGACGACCAGCCAGAAUGGAACUGCGACACGGUCCAUACUCCUACGGGAGGCAGCAGUGAGGAAUCUUCCGCAAUGGACGAAAGUCUGACGGAGCGACGCCGCGUGGUGGAUGAAAGCCUUAACUGGUUGUAAACACCUGUUCUGAGGGACGAAAUUUUUGACGGUACCUCAGGAGAAAGUAUCGGCAAACCCUGU
rnacentral:rRNA from 1 species